CACGUAGGGGGCGAGCGUUGUCCGGAUUUAUUGGGCGUAAAGAGCUCGUAGGUGGUUCGGCAAGUCAGUUGUGAAAUCUCCGCGCUCAACGCGGAGGGGUCAGCUGAAACUGCUGUGACUUGAGUCUGGUAGGGGAGUGUGGAAUUCCCGGUGUAGCGGUGAAAUGCGCAGAUAUCGGGAGGAACACCAGUGGCGAAGGCGGCACUCUGGGCCAGUACUGACGCUGAGGAGCGAAAGCGUGGGGAGCGAACAGG
rnacentral:rRNA from 1 species